rnacentral:tRNA from 1 species
GGGCGGUUAGCUCAGUUGGUAGAGCGCUUCGUUUACACCGAAGAUGUCGGGAGUUCGAAUCUCUCACCGCCCA